CACUCUAUGUCUCAUUUUUAAUAAAACUAUACGUUAGCGACUCAGAAAUAAAAAAUGAGCAGAAAUCUCUCAAUUAAAUUUAAAAGUUUUCACUUAUACCUCAAAAUAUUUUAAAUCCCUUUCUACCCUUCACUAUUUACUCACACUGAGCUAUACUCACCUAUAUCCCACCAACUACAAUUAGAUCUGAGAGUCAACAACCACCACCACUUAGAAGAAUUACUUCCUCCAUCAACAUUUUCUUCUCCAUCUUGACCACAGCCUUCAUCAUAUCAAUUUAGUGACCAGCGAUUCAGUUUUUAAAAAACGAACAACUGGAAGUGGCGGGAUUGUAGUGGAGUUUUCAGUUUUCAAAGAACGGCGACUAUUUAUACUCCGGCAACCUCCAUUUAUGCUCCGGCGACCGGAGGAAGAGCGACGGGUUUUGCUGUAAUAUCCUUUAAAUGUAUAUUUCAAUUUUCAAUUAUAUUAUUUAAUUUUAUGUUCUAAGUGUUUUUUUUUUUGAAAUUUUGACAGUUAUGGUUUAUUUUUGAUUUUCUUAAUUUGAUUGCUACGGUUGACUAUUGAAUUUGCGGAUGAGACUUAAUAAAGUAUAUGAGCUUAUAUAAUUCCACAAAUUAUCAUAAUCUAAAUGAUUAUAAUGAUGGUAGUUUCGUGUCUUCUGGUUGGAUUUAAAAGAGUUCAAGUACUAACAGAGUAACUUUAUUAUUCUAAUAUGCCUUUUCUUUAUAUGGCAUUGUAAAUGACGAAUGGUUGCUGGUCAUGGAUGCACCAAUUUCAUCAUCAUUUUUCCUACUUAGUUUAUUUGGUGAUUGUGGAGUCUACAUGUUCUGUGCCGCAGAAAUUUUUGUUGAUGGAAAAGAAAUGGGAUUCAAUUUUGAUGUCAAUGAACAUCGUGCUUGCUAUGUUUCUCCUUUGUAUGCAUAUGGUUGUUGGAAGGAAGACUUGGACAUAAUCAUUGAUGACGAACGUCCCAUCAAAUACAAGCGGCACAUAUAUAGUUGAUGUUUUUAUAUUUAGACUUUUAUUUUGCGGUUUUAUGUUUCAAAAAAGUACUUUGCAUUUAUUUUAUAGGCUAUUAAUAUAGAUUUAUUGUUUAUUUUUUUAAA